rnacentral:rRNA from 1 species
GACGAACGCUGGCGGCGUGCCUAGUACAUGCAAGUUGAGCGCUGAAGGUUGGUACUUGUACCAACUGGAUGAGCAGCGAACGGGUGAGUAACGCGUGGGGAAUCUGCCUUUGAGCGGGGGACAACAUUUGGAAACGAAUGCUAAUACCGCAUAAAAACUUUAAACACAAGUUUUAAGUUUGAAAGAUGCAAUUGCAUCACUCAAAGAUGAUCCCGCGUUGUAUUAGCUAGUUGGUGAGGUAAAGGCUCACCAAGGCGAUGAUACAUAGCCGACCUGAGAGGGUGAUCGGCCACAUUGGGACGGAGACACGGCACAAACUCCUACGGGAGGCAGCAGUAGGGAAUCGUCGGCAAUGGACGAAAGUCUGACCGAGCAACGCCGAGUGAGUGAAGAAGGUUUUCGGAUCGUAAAACUCUGUUGGUAGGGAAGAACGUUGGUGAGAGUGGAAAGCUCAUCAAGUGACGGUAACUACCCAGAAAGGGACGGCUAACUACGUG